rnacentral:rRNA from 1 species
UACGAAGGGGGCUAGCGUUGUUCGGAAUUACUGGGCGUAAAGGGCGCGUAGGUGGCGUGAUAAGGGUGUGGUGAAAAGCCCCGGGGGCUCAACCCCCGGGGUCUGCCAUGCCGACUGUCAGGCUAGAGUACUGUAGGGGGCAGGCGGAAUUCCGGGGUGUAGCGGUGAAAAUGCGUAGAUAUCGGAAGGAACAUCAGUGGCGAAAGCGGCUUCCUGGACCAGCACCGACGUCAGGCACGAAAGCGUGGGGAGCAAACAGGA